rnacentral:rRNA from 1 species
AGUGAACGCUGGCGGUAGGCCUAACACAUGCAAGCCGAACGGCAGCACAGGAGAGCUUGCUCUCUGGGUGGCGAGUGGCGGACGGGUGAGGAAUACAUCGGAAUCUACUUUUUCGUGGGGGAUAACGUAGGGAAACUUACGCUAAUACUGCAUACGACCUACGGGUGAAAGCAGGGGAUCUUCGGACCUUGCGCGAUUGAAUGAGCCGAUGUGGAAUUAGCUAGUUGGCGGGGUAAAGGCCCACCAAGGCGACGAUCCGUAGCUGGUCUGAGAGGAUGAUCAGCCACACUGGAACUGAGACACGGUCCAGACUCCUACGGGAGGCAGCAGUGGGGAAUAUUGGACAAUGGGCGCAAGCCUGAUCCAGCCAUACCGCGUGGGUGAAGAAGGCCUUCGGGUUGUAAAGCCCUUUUGUUGGGAAAGAAAACCAGCUGGUUAAUACCCGGUUGGGAUGACGGUACCCAAAGAAUAAGCACCGGCUAACUUCGUGCCAGCCGCCGCCGUAA